AUCUUGUGACACAGUGGAGUGCGACAUUUGGCUUUCUGUUUUACCUUUUGAUAAGUAAAUGCCGCACAGGGACUGGCAUUUUAGAAGGCCGCUUCUUCCCAUGCCAGGGGUAACAUGCAGCCAGAAUCACCACUCUGCACGCCCGACAGAAAACGCUGUCAGUGACCCAGGGCUUAUUUAAGAAGGUUGGAGAGAAAGACUUCAUUAAGUAAAAGAAAAGCCCUUGGCUGAGAUCAUACCUGUGACUUCUCACACUCGCAUGUUUAUUAAAUUGGAUGAAACCCUAGCAUUUCUUCCUCGAUCCAUUUUUAUCCCUGAAGGAAGAGAGUUAUAUUCUAUAUUCAUACAAAUUAUCUUCAAAGAAUGGAUUUGAGGAUACUAGUAGGCACUAAAUUCUUGUUACUUUUCUUUUUCCUUUAUUAAUAAGUAUGCCUUCAUAUAAUGGAUAAAAUGGGUUUCUUCUUCUCAAAAAUAUUGAAACAGUGUCUCAUGUAGUCCAGGCUGUACUUGAACUUACUGUGUAGCCAAGAAUAACCUUGAAUUCCUGAUCCUCCUGUUUCCACCCAUUGAGUGCUAGGAUUCAAGGUUUGGGUCACUACUGUUCUUUUGGGUGUUAUUUUGUGUUUUUUUCUAAUCUGUUGAUAUCUGCACACACUUCUGUAAUCUGCACAUACACUUACACCGGACACUUAGUGCCCUAUAACAGUAGUAUUUCAAUAUGUGUGUAAUGAUAAUGUCAUAGUUAGUGUUUUUCAUUUCUUUAAACAUUUAUUAUUUCUCUGUACUGGGAACCUUUGAUUUCUCUCCUGUUGAUUUCCUUGAUCUGUUUCUAUGACACAGUUUCUUUCUCAAGGCAUAAGUAGUGACAAAGUAAAUUAUAAAUAGUAAAUUAACAGUAAAUUCUGAGUGUGGAAUGACAAUUAAACAUGCAAACUGUGACCUAAUCCAUUUUAGACUGCCCAAGAGUUCUAUCUUAAUUUACUAUUAAUCCCAAUUCCAUCUGCAUGUAUAGAGAGAGCGAUAAAUCAUCCCCGAGACAUUUACUGCCAUUUAUCCACAUAGGAGCAGACAGACAGUGAUUUUUGUUACACCACAAGGGAUAUUUCUCCUUCCUGUUUUUUUCACCUCUAAUAUUUUCCACACCAUUAACUUAGCAAAGAACUUAAAUAUUUGUGAGCCCUCUCUAUGCCUCAGUGGUUUUCAGGAUUAUGUCAAAUGGCAUCUUUCCUGAUGCAGCCGGGAAAUGCUCUUAGGUGUUACCCUUUUGCGAUGUAUGCUUUCUUCAUUGAAAGUUUUCUGCUUUUGCAAUUAUUUGUGCUUUUUAUUUGCUUAUUACCACUUGUUUUGUGGUUGUUCAUCCUCUGGAGAUGACCUCAGGCAUCCUUAGCAGGAAGAAGGCAGCAGGUUGAUCUCACAAGCAUGGGGUUGGAGCACUUCUCUGUUCCUUUUCAGCCGUGGAAUGAUUCCAGAAGGAGAGGUUCUAGGAAGCAGCCCUUUUGUAAAUCUUGGGCAUGUAUCUUAGCAGUAUUCGGAGUUCUAAUUGGUUGAGUAAACUCAUUUGUAGUGCAAUUAAACCACUGUAGAGUAGAUGAGGUAUAUCACACUUUGGGGAAUGGUUGGGAAUAUACAAGAAGUUAAACAAGCUGUGAAUUAGUAAACACCGAGGAUACAGGCCAAGUCAUUAGUGGGCUCACAAGCUGCCUGUCAGAGUCUCUGCUGAUCAGCCAGAACCACGUUCCCCCUCUUCUCUUCUCAAAUGUAAUAUCUCAUUACAUUUCUGACAGAUUUCCUUUCUAUCUGAAUUAUUUUUAAUUUAAAAUUGGAAUGGAGCUACCCCUGUCAAUUCAACCAGCCAUGAUGCUAUCGUCAGGCUGGCUGAACAAAUAGACCUUUAGAAGGGUGGAGGAUCUGGGCUCUUCCCACUGUCUUUGGUAUCUGUAUAACAGGGGGUCAUUACUUAUGUCUGUGGCUUGGAGACACACAGACUCUGUCUUCCCAAAAGAAGACAGAGUUGGUGCUGGGAACCAACCCUCUCAUUCGAAAAGCAUGGUAAGAUAAGAAAGUGUCUUGUGCUUGCUGACCGUAUGUUGGUAGUGCCAGUUUGAUAAGUGUGUACUGGUCUCCAGAUGCAAGUGAAAUCUCUCUUUAUACCAACAUAGUCCUCAUAGAAGACUGAAGCUAGUAAAUCCAGCAUUGUGCUGGCCUCUUUGUCUGUGUUCUCUGCUUAAGGGCCCGGGGUGGUAGUUGAUACCUUUUCUACCUGUCUAUGGAGGAGGAUCUCAGGUACACGGAGUCUCUGGUGCCAGCAGAGUACUCUAUCCCCACAACUUAGUAUCCUUUGAUUAUAACUUUCUCUUAUCCCAAUGGAGAAAUAAAGACCUAACUUCUGCCACUGAACAUUGAUUGGACUUUUAAGCCAUAACCUCAAAGAGGUUUUAAAGAGGGUUGGGUUUUUUUUUUUUCUUCUUCUUCUUCUUUGGAUUAGGUGUGUCACAAUGGGGUCUUCAGUAGUUCAGGCUGGCCCCAUAUUUGCUAUGUAGACUAGCUUUCACCUCCUGGUCCCCUUAUU
rnacentral:lncRNA from 1 species